CAAAAUAAUCCACACGUCAUUGCUACGUGGAAAAUCACGUAGGUCCCUAAAAAGGUUCAUUCACGUGAAUUUAUCUUUCAAAGGUAAUAAUUAUCUGACAAUGGAUAAAUAUGAAAUAGAAUGCUUGUAGCAUUCAUCACGCCAACCCGUAACACUGACGUGAAAAUCCCGUACCUACUGGAGUUCAUUUUGACAGCUACAGUUGGAGUUCAUUGAGUGAUAAAUCAGUGUCGUGUGUAAUGGGUGCUACCAUGUCCAAUCAUUUUAUAGCGUUUAUUAUGCGUUCAAAAGGCCAAAAUGUGUACAGAUUCGGAUUCAGAUCCAGCAAAAUAUUGCGUGGCACAUUCAUUACUUUAAAUAUUCAAAGAAUAUGACUCUAAUCGUUAUAUACUCGAAGUCACACGGAAUUCAGCAUAACUUUUCUCAAGGUAAACAUUGUGCCGCAAUGUUAUUAGGAUUUGGAAUGUUACUGGAGCCAAAUAUUUAAUCAUUGACCGCUUUGGCUUGCUUACGUAUAGGUAGUUCCGGAUGCCGAAAUCACAAGCAACAGGAUUUACCAACUCUCUGACCAGAAUUUAUGCGAUAUCCCAGUUACGGAAGUUGAAAAAAUGUGUAAUCAUAUUUUACAAUAAACGCUAAUAUAAGAAA